GCCCUGUUGGUGUAGUGGCAAGCAUACCUCCCUGUCGAGGAGGAGAUAGGAGUUCGACUCUCCUACAGGGCGCCA
rnacentral:tRNA from 1 species